rnacentral:rRNA from 1 species
AACCUCUGCAAUAGGCGAAAGCUUGACAGGGUUACUCUGAGUGAUUUCCGUUAAGGAGAUCUUUUGGCACCUUGGUGCAGAAUAAGGGGUGGCAAGCUGGUGUCAGCCGCCGCGGUAAUACCAGCACCCCGAGUGGUCGGGACGUUUAUUGGGCCUAAAGCAUCCGUAGCCGGUUCUACAAGUCUUCCGUUAAAUCCACCUGCUUAACAGAUGGGCUGCGGAAGAUACUAUAGAGCUAGGAGGCGGGAGAGGCAAGCGGUACUCGAUGGGUAGGGUAAAAUCCGUUGAUCCAUUGAAGACCACCAGUGGCGAAGGCGGCUUGCCAGAACGCCUCGACGGUGAGGGAUGAAAGCUGGGGGAGCAAACCGGAUUAGAUACCCGGGUAGUCCCAGCUGUAAACGAUGCAGACUCGGUGAUGAGCAGUGCCGCA